rnacentral:rRNA from 1 species
CAGUCGCCGCGGUAAUGCGUAGGGUGCAAGCGUUAAUCGGAAUUACUGGGCGUAAAGCGUGCGCAGGCGGUUUGUUAAGACAGAUGUGAAAUCCCCGGGCUCAACCUGGGGACUGCAUUUGUGACUGGCAAGCUAGAGUGUGGCAGAGGGGGGUGGAAUUCCGCGUGUAGCAGUGAAAUGCGUAGAUAUGCGGAGGAACACCGAUGGCGAAGGCAGCCCCCUGGGCCAACACUGACGCUCAUGCACGAAAGCGUGGGGAGCAAACAGGAUUAGAUACCCCCGUAGUCCCUGUCUCUUAUAC